AUUGAACGCUGGCGGCAUGCUUUACACAUGCAAGUCGAACGGUAACAGGCCUUCGGGUGCUGACGAGUGGCGCACGGGUGAGUAAUGCAUCGGAACGUGCCCAGAGGUGGGGGAUAACGCAGCGAAAGCUGUGCUAAUACCGCAUGUGAUCUGAGGAUGAAAGCGGGGGACCAAGCAGCAAUGUUUGGCCUCGCGCCUCUGGAGCGGCCGAUGUCAGAUUAGGUAGUUGGUGGGGUAAAGGCCUACCAAGCCGACGAUCUGUAGCUGGUCUGAGAGGACGACCAGCCACACUGGGACUGAGACACGGCCCAGACUCCUACGGGAGGCAGCAGUGGGGAAUUUUGGACAAUGGGCGCAAGCCUGAUCCAGCAAUGCCGCGUGAGGGAAGAAGGCCUUCGGGUUGUAAACCGCUUUUGUACGGAACGAAAAGGCUCUGGCUAAUACCUGGGGCUGAUGACGGUACCGUAAGAAUAAGCACCGGCUAACUACGUG
rnacentral:rRNA from 1 species